CUACAGGGGUAUCUAAUCCUGUUUGCUACCCAUGCUUUCGAGCCUCAGCGUCAGUUGGUGCCCAGUAGGUCGCCUUCGCCACUGGUGUUCCUCCCGAUAUCUACGCAUUCCACCGCUACACCGGGAAUUCCACCUACCUCUGCACUACUCAAGGCCAGCAGUUUUGAAAGCAAUUCAUGGGUUGAGCCCAUGGUUUUCACUUCCAACUUGCCGGUCCGCCUGCGCUCCCUUUACACCCAGUAAUUCCGGACAACGCUUGCACCCUACGUUUUACCGCGGCGGCUGGCAC
rnacentral:rRNA from 1 species